UGAGGUAAAAUGUAAAUUAGCCACUUUAAGGACUAAAGUGGACUUUUAACCACAAACUUCCGGAGGAAGUUGUGUUUUACUCUAUUUUUUCAAGAUAAGAAAAUAAUAUCGAUAAAGUGGUUAUCGAUAGUCAUUAAUAUGAAAAUUGGACGAAAAAGUGAGAAAAAGUGCAAAUUAGCUCAAAAUGGAAAUUUGAGCGUUUUUGGCCAAAAUCGCCAAAAUAAAUUGUUGAAAAGUGAUAUUGUAAGAUAUGAUACUAAUAUUAAUUAUUUGAAAAAUAAAUAACGGAAUUCAUCAAGAAUCGAAUGAUUAAAGGAUUAGUGGACUAAAUUGUACGAAAGAUAAGCUAGAAAGUAAAGAGAAAGGAGGUGGCAACUUCAAGGACCUAAGUGGACUUUUUACCCACUUAUUAUCAUCUUUUAUGAAUGAAUAAUCAUUCAUUCAAAGGUAAUUUUCAGCUAAGGAAAGAGCAAACCCGUAACCCCUUUUCUCCCAAAUCCUCCAAACUUCAAAUCUUCAUAUCUUUUUCGUUUCUCAACGAAAUUGAGCGAUUCUUGCAGCCACGGAACGAGGAAGUGAUUAUCUACAACUCUAUGGCAUAAAUUUGAGUGUAAUUGUAAGCUUGUAAUGAAGGUUAUGGAUGAUGAAAUUGGAGCUUUAAACCUACGGCAAUAGAGACAUCAUCAAGGUGAGAAAAUUCUGAAAUUUCUUGGCUUUUGAUUGAUGUAUUGAAUGAUGGAAAUGGCAUAUAGAGUUGGCAAUAAACAUGAGCUCUAGGUGGUUGAUGAAUUGAUUGUAAGAAAUUGUGUAGUGUUGAGUAAGAUUGAUUGAAACUUUGAAAGGAGAAAGGGCUAAGGGUUUCGGCCCCUAAGCUAUGAUGAUUAUAUGAGAUUCAAGUAUGAA